rnacentral:misc_RNA from 1 species
AGCUUCCUUUUGCACUCCUAUACUAUAGGACUUCACCCAAACACUCUCAUUAUCCUUAUGCCUGAUUAAAAAGUUCUACCAACUGAAAAUAGCAUCAGUGCCAUAUAAGUGGAAAGAGUAUCAUCGGUCUCCAUUAGCUACCACUUUGCCUAGAUCUCUAGUUUCCCAUUAGUAAUGAAUCCCGUGACUCCUUAUUUAAUGGAUGAGAGUAAUAAAACUAAUAAAGAAGAAGAG